rnacentral:tRNA from 1 species
CCUUUCGCAGCUUAGUGGUAGAGAACUAGUGUGUAAAAUUAGAGGCCCGGGUUCGAUUCCCGGCGAGGA